rnacentral:ncRNA from 1 species
UAAGUGGCUGUGAAGAGGAGCAGUAGAUUGCGUCUAUUCUUGAAGAGAGCCGGCGGGUGGUGCAAGCCGGUGGAUAGCGCAAUUGAACUCGCCUUGGAGUCCGUGUAUGUGAAUGGAGUAAUAUACACCGUUUUCCGCGUUAAGGAAUCAAGUUGAGCGGCUGGCCGCUAAUUUGGGUGGUACCGCGGGAAACUCCCGUCCCUUAU